rnacentral:rRNA from 1 species
ACCCUUUGUGAACAUACCUAUAACUGUUGCUUCGGCGGGUAGGGUCUCCGCGACCCUCCCGGCCUCCCGCCUCCGGGCGGGUCGGCGCCCGCCGGAGGAUAACCAAACUCUGAUUUAACGACGUUUCUUCUGAGUGGUACAAGCAAAUAAUCAAAACUUUUAACAACGGAUCUCUUGGUUCUGGCAUCGAUGAAGAACGCAGCGAAAUGCGAUAAGUAAUGUGAAUUGCAGAAUUCAGUGAAUCAUCGAAUCUUUGAACGCACAUUGCGCCCGCCAGCAUUCUGGCGGGCAUGCCUGUUCGAGCGUCAUUUCAACCCUCAAGCUUUGCUUGGUGUUGGGGCCCUACAGCUGAUGUAGGCCCUCAAAGGUAGUGGCGGACCCUCCCGGAGCCUCCUUUGCGUAGUAACUUUACGUCUCGCACUGGGAUCCGGAGGGACUCUUGCCGUAAAACCCCCCAAUUUUCCAAAGGUUGACCUCGGAUCAGGUAGGAAUACCCGCUGAACUUA